GAUGAACGCUGGCGGCGUGCCUAAUACAUGCAAGUCGAGCGAACAGACGAGGAGCUUGCUCCUCUGACGUUAGCGACGGACGGGUGAGUAACACGUGGAUAACCUACCUAUAAGACUGGGAUAACUUCGGGAAACCGGAGCUAAUACCGGAUAAUAUAUUGAACCGCAUGGUUCAAUAGUGAAAGACGGUUUUGCUGUCACUUAUAGAUGGAUCCGCGCCGCAUUAGCUAGUUGGUAAGGUAACGGCUUACCAAGGCAACGAUGCGUAGCCGACCUGAGAGGGUGAUCGGCCACACUGGAACUGAGACACGGUCCAGACUCCUACGGGAGGCAGCAGUAGGGAAUCUUCCGCAAUGGGCGAAAGCCUGACGGAGCAACGCCGCGUGAGUGAUGAAGGUCUUCGGAUCUUAAAACUCUGUUAUUAGGGAAGAACAAAUGUGUAAGUAACUAUGCACGUCUUGACGGUACCUAAUCAGAAAGCCACGGCUAACUACGUG
rnacentral:rRNA from 1 species